rnacentral:lncRNA from 1 species
CUGAUUCACCCGCGGCGAUGGGGAAGCGCCGGUGUCAUGCUGCGAAGCACAGACGCUGCUUCUUUUCAGCCCCCCCCCCCGCCAUUUAAAAGCUAACCUGUUCCCGGAUUUGUCUGGGGAAAAUCCCACCUUUUCUCUCAUUGCAUGAUCCUGCUCUCUCUUUGCUUAACUGUAGUCAACUUUUCUGGCUUCCCGGACGCCAGUAUUCAACAGCAAAAAUAAUCACCUGCCUCUUUUUACGCUCUGUAGCUUGCCUGUCCUGUGAAAUAAGUUGCGAAAAUCAAAAUUAACAGGACUCCCUAUGUCUGCAACCAUAUCUUCUCCUUAACUCUCUGUGCCCUCGCACACUGUCCUCACUUUUGUUGACUUCCACUUCUGGGCUGACUCCAAAUCCCUGUCUUCUACUCUAUCUAAAAAAUUAUUUGCAUAUAUCAAUAUUACCUUGGUUUAAAUCCUGUCCUGUUUUUUCUUUCUCAAGUCAGUUACUCCUGCUUUCUAGUGUUAUCUCUGAUUUCUCCAGAAGUGGAAUUUAUCCUGCUACUUACAGAUGAAUAGCAGUGCUUCCAUUAAGCUGAUGCAGUCUGGCGCAAGAUCUGCAGAAGUGAGUCCUCUCUGGAGACUGCAGUGCUACUCAUCACUUGCUGGAAGGUGUUUCUGCACCACAUUCAUCCCUAAAGGACUGGAGCUCGGACUUGACACUGAAACUUGUUCCAUUUUUUUUUUUUUUUGGUGUCUUAUUUCGAUAAAGGUUGACCACUGAGAUAGUCCAGGUUUCUAUCUGAAGCAACAAAAGGGCAGCCAUACCGCUCUGUGAGCAGGCUCUCUGAUGUUGUCAGGGGCUUUAUCUGUAAUGCAGGGUAUGUAGAUGCAUCUGGGCUAGGUCUAAAUGGGUUCAGCUGCCUGUGCAACCACAGAGCCCAGUGAAGAACAGGAGCUCACCAGCCUCCCCAGCUGAAAAUGCUCUAUGCUGCUGCAGUUUCGGUGCUAACAGUAAGCAAGUCCAUUGUGAUCUUAAGUUCCUAGUCUUGCUAUUGCUGCUUAAUUGUUCUGUCCUUCACUUCAGCUGGGAAUGCUGACUGAGUUAAAACAAUGCCAGGAUGAUGGGUUUCGAUACAAAAUUAUUCCUCGUAACAGGAACUAGCAACACGGGUCUCCAUGCAAGGAUUUUUCUGCAGUGCCAUGAGUGAGUGUCUUAAGCUUCAGAUCACCCCGGCUCACCACUUCUGGAGCUGUCAGAUCUGGGCCCCGCAGUGUAGGAUCUGGCGUGAUCAGUGGCUAGAAUUCACACCCAGAUGCUUAGCUGACGUUUACCAAAGACUGGAGCAGUUUAUAAUUGAUAAGAAAUUCACAUAACUACAGGUGUGAAGAAAAGAAUGAGCAAAUGAUACAAUUCACGCUUCCACGUGUGCAUGCAGUCUUCAUGGCAGAACAAUUCCUCUGAAGCGUCUCAGAUUGCCCAUUGCUAGAGACAGGCCUCACUGGAGCAAUUAUGUUAGUCAUAAUGACAGAUACUCCAAUGCCCUCAAUUUAAAUCCUUUUCAUAGUGCUGAAUUACAGCUUGACAGCAGAGAUCUCAUGACACACUCCUGUUUCUGAUUCUCCACCUGCCUCGUGACAACUGUAUUGCUUGGUUACAUGAAAAAAACAACAUCAUUGCCUAACAGGAAGACAAAAUGACAGUAAACUUACUUUUAUGCAUUCUUUGGAUUCUUUGCCAACUCCCAUUUGUUUUCUGUAUUUUUUAUUUCUUCUUCUUACAGGAUUUUACAUUUUUUGGGACUGCAUCUUCUCAUUGCUUGCAAUUCCCCACUGCUCUGAUGUGAUCACUUUCUGGUUUGAAAUUUAUAUCUGUUUGCUGCUAGAUGUUAAAAUCCAAUGACAUCCUUAGCAUUUUAUGAGAAUACAAUCUGCACCAGUGAAACACCUCCCUAACACCCAAAGUAAGUUUAAGGUAGUUGUCUAAGGUAUGGCAGGAUGCUUGCUUAUUUUAGUUUUGUUGACAAAAAAAGAAAAAAUCUAGGAAGUUUCCACCUUGGGAAUUGAGUUCUUAUUAUCUGGUAACAGGAAUGCAUGGAGACUCUCUUUUUUACCACAGUGAGACAAAAUACCUGGAGCCUGAGCACCUAGAACUAGGAUAGGAAGGAUGUACCACACUGUUCUGAAGACUGGAGAUACUGAACAUAGUUUAUAUUUUGACAAUGAAAUCACAGGUUAACAUAAGUACUUUAUCAUAUACCCAAGGUGUGCCAUUUUCCCAUGGCAUAUUGUAGCUUCGUGUCAACUGGUUGUCUAUGAAGAAGUUGUAUGAAUCACCUUCUGGCUGUGUCUGUCUUUGUUCUUUCAGUACAGAGAAAGCACAGGUUAUGAGCUUAUACCAUCUAUAGACUAUAUCUAAGGUUAGGUAAAAUGCAUUCUGCCCUCAGAAUAGUCAAAUAUCAGAAAAGAUUUCAAAUGUUCCCUUCUUUCUUCCUCCAAAGCAUUACUAAAAAUCUAGGUAGUAAUUCUUGUGGAAUUAUUUGGUAUAAUAAACAUUCAUACUUGAAAGCA